AUUGAACGCUGGCGGCAUGCUUUACACAUGCAAGUCGAACGGUAACAGGCCGCAAGGUGCUGACGAGUGGCGAACGGGUGAGUAAUGCAUCGGAACGUGCCCAGUCGUGGGGGAUAACUACUCGAAAGAGUAGCUAAUACCGCAUACGAUCUAUGGAUGAAAGCGGGGGACCGUAAGGCCUCGCGAGAUUGGAGCGGCCGAUGUCAGAUUAGGUAGUUGGUGGGGUAAAGGCUCACCAAGCCAACGAUCUGUAGCUGGUCUGAGAGGACGACCAGCCACACUGGGACUGAGACACGGCCCAGACUCCUACGGGAGGCAGCAGUGGGGAAUUUUGGACAAUGGGCGCAAGCCUGAUCCAGCAAUGCCGCGUGCAGGAAGAAGGCCUUCGGGUUGUAAACUGCUUUUGUACGGAACGAAACGGCUCUGGUUAAUACCCGGGGCUAAUGACGGUACCGUAAGAAUAAGCACCGGCUAACUACGUG
rnacentral:rRNA from 1 species